GACAGAGGGUGCAAACGUUGUUCGGAAUUACUGGGCGUAAAGCGCGUGUAGGCUGCUCGAACAGUCGGGUGUGAAAGUCCGGGGCUCAACUCCGGAUCUGCGGUGGGUACGGGCAGACUAGAGUGAUGUAGGGGAGACUGGAAUUCCUGGUGUAGCGGUGAAAUGCGCAGAUAUCAGGAGGAACACCGGUGGCGAAGGCGGUUCUCUGGGAAUGUCCUGACGCUGAGGAGCGAAAGUGUGGGGAGCGAACAGG
rnacentral:rRNA from 1 species